rnacentral:lncRNA from 1 species
GAAGUUGUCCAGGGCUCCCUGAGGGAGGCCAGCACAAGAGCUCUGCCAUAAAAGGACAUUGGACAGAAGUGAAGAGUCCAAUCAGAAACUCUUUUUGAGAGACUGAACGCAAAGCAUUCAGAGAGUCAGCAGGCUGGAGAGGCCAAGACACACACACGAAGAAGGCAGUGCCCUGUCAUCUCCUCAAAUGUUGCUCUUAUUCACUGAAGCAAGCUGACUCCCCAAUACCAUGUACAUACUGAACCCAGAAGAGGGGAGAAAAGAAGGAAGGAUUGUGCAUAGGAGUUCCUUUUGAAGAAGUGACAUGGAGGAACAGAGCCUCCUGUUUUCACCAAACCUAACAAUGAUCAGCCACACUGACUCUGAUUGAGUUAAGUAGAAAAGAAGUUUAUUAAAAGAUGACCAAGGAGCUCACAGAAACACCAGGAAAUUUUGAGAAGGUUCAGAAAACAGGGACACUCUUCUCCUCCUGCGGUUGGACUCCAGGCUCUAUGACCUUCAAACUCCAGGACUUACACCAGUUGCCCCUGGGCACUCAGGACUUCUGCUUCAGACUGACAGUUGCAGGACAGUGCAGCAUUUUAUUUUAAAGAUACCCCACAACGUAGGUGGCCAGUCCUGCUGCAGAUUGAGAGCUGUACUAGCCUGGCAUGCAGACAGCAGCUUUAGAAUCAGAUCUGCCUUCUGGCGGCUUCCCACCUAGGAGCCAUGGGACCUUUGUGAAGUCACCAAUUGUGCUGUGGAUGCUUCAUUUGUGAAGGAGAACAGGACUGCCUUGUGAAAUUACGGAUGGUGCUACUAAAACAUAUCAAUAAUUUGAAUUUCACUUUUGUGGAUGCUUUAAACAUCAUAGUCAUUAGAAGGUGGAUCUGGCUGAUUGUACUUUAAGUUUUCAGUUUGAGCUGGAGCUUUGUAUUAUAACAGGAGGGUACUGGACAAGAUGAGGAAACUGAGGUACAGAUGGGAAACUUGCUCAAGUUCACACAGCAAUUAAGUGAUCAAGUCCAAGAGCAAAACCAGGCAGGCUGGCUCCAGAGCUCACGAUAGUCCACCACUGCUUUCCACCAUCACUACGGAAUCAAGUCCAUGAGGAUACUCACCUUAUGUCAGUUGCCUAAGUUGGAAAUUAUAGAAUCUUCAAAUUGGAAGGGACGUUAUCAUCCAAGAUUUCAACUUUCUAC